rnacentral:lncRNA from 1 species
CCCCCCCCCCCCCCCCCCCCCCCCCCCCCCCCCCCCCCCCCCCCCCCCCCCCCCCCCCCCCCCCCCCCCCCCCCCCCCCCCCCCCCCCCCCCCCCCCCCCCCCCCCCCCCCCCCCCCCCCCCCCCCCCCCCCCCCCCCCCCCCCCCCCCCCCCCCCCCCCCCCCCCCCCCCCCCCCCCCCCCCCCCCCCCCCCCCCCGCCCAAACCCCACAGAACCUCCUAAGAAAUCCUACAGAGCCCAAAUCCCAUAGAGCCCAAAUCCCACAGAGCCCAAACCCCACAGAGCCUCCUGAGAGAUGCCAGAAAGCCCAAACCCCUCAGAGCCCAAACCCCACAGAACCUCCUAAGAAAUCCUACAGAGCCCAAAUCCCAUAGAGCCCAAAUCCCAGAGUCCAAAACCCACAGAGCCCAAAUCCCACAGAGCAAAUCCUACAGAGCCCAAAUCCCACAGAGCCUCCUAAGAAACCCCACAGGGCCCACACCCCACAGAGCCUCCUGAGAGAUGCCAGAGAGCCCAAACUCCACAGUGCCCAAACCCCACAGAACCUCCUAAGAAAUCCUACAGAGCCCAAAUCCCAUAGAGCCCAAAUCCCACAGAGCCCAAACCCCACAGAGCCUCCUGAGAGAUGCCAGAGAGCCCAAACCCCACAGAGCCCAAACCCCACAGAGCCCAAACCCCACAGAACCUCCUAAGAAAUCCUACAGAGCCCAAAUCCCAUAGAGCCCAAACCCCACAGAGCCCAAACCCCACAGAGCCCAAAUCCCACGUAGCUUCCUGAGAAAUUCCACAGACCCCACAGGUCCCUCCAUCCCAAACCCCACAGGCUCCCCAGUCCCAAAGGUGCUCACACCUCUGGCCAAUCCCAAACCCCUUUUGCCAACCCCAACCCCUCUGCCCAAUCCCAAAUCCCUCUAUCCAAUCCCAAACCCCUUUUGCCAAUCCCAAACCCCCCGGGCCAAUCCCACUGUCCAGAGGCCGAUUUGGGGCCCCAAUCCCCGCCCCACAGCGCUUCUCCGCAGCCGGGGCGGCUCCCGGCGCUGCGGAAUUAGGAUUUCAUUGGGGUUUGGAGCCUCUGCUCCGCCCAGCGCGGCCACCCCGACACCGGGAUGGGGAUCCCGGUGCUGCUCCCGGUUCUCCCGGUGCCCCGNGGUUUGGGGUUUGGGUUUAGGUUUAGGUUUGGGUUUAGGUGUUUUGGUGCCGGGUUUCCCUCUCAGUACACCCCAGACCACUCCGUGUUUCAGAUCACAUUUAAUGUCCUGGAACAAUCCCAAUCUCUGGGAAUGAUCCCAAUAUCUGGGAACAAUCACAACCUCUAAGAACAAUCCCAGUCUCUGGGAAGGAUCCCAAUCUCUGGGUCUUGUCCUCGGUUCAACCUUUGGAAACCUCAGGUCUGGCUUUGGAAAUGAACAAAUGCUGAAGGGGCAGCUGCCCAGAGUGUCCUGAGAAAUCCCACAGGGCCC